GAUGAACGCUGGCGGCGUGCCUAAUACAUGCAAGUCGAGCGAACAGACGAGGAGCUUGCUCCUCUGACGUUAGCGGCGGACGGGUGAGUAACACGUGGAUAACCUACCUAUAAGACUGGGAUAACUUCGGGAAACCGGAGCUAAUACCGGAUAAUAUAUUGAACCGCAUGGUUCAAUAGUGAAAGACGGUUUUGCUGUCACUUAUAGAUGGAUCCGCGCCGCAUUAGCUAGUUGGUAAGGUAACGGCUUACCAAGGCGACGAUGCGUAGCCGACCUGAGAGGGUGAUCGGCCACACUGGAACUGAGACACGGUCCAGACUCCUACGGGAGGCAGCAGUAGGGAAUCUUCCGCAAAGGGCGAAAGCCUGACGGAGCAACGCCGCGUGAGUGAUGAAGGUCUUCGGAUCGUAAAACUCUGUUAUUAGGGAAGAACAAAUGUGUAUGUAACUAUGCACGUCUUGACGGUACCUAAUCAGAAAGCCACGGCUAACUACGUG
rnacentral:rRNA from 1 species